rnacentral:rRNA from 1 species
GUCCUAGCCGUAAACGUUGGGUGCUAGGUGUGGGCGGACAUCAACCCCGUCCGUGCCGAAGCUAACGCAUUAAGCACCCCGCCUGGGGAGUACGGCCGCAAGGCUAAAACUCAAAGGAAUUGACGGGGCCCCGCACAAGCGGCGGAGCAUGUUGCUUAAUUCGAUGCGACGCGAAGAACCUUACCUGGGCUUGACAUGCAGGGUGAAACCCGUGAAAGCGGGCGCUCUUCGGAGCCUGCACAGGUGGUGCAUGGCUGUCGU